rnacentral:rRNA from 1 species
UACGGUAGGGGGCAAGCGUUGUCCGGAAUCAUUGGGCGUAAGCGCGUGUAGGCGGCUGAGUAAGUCUGCUCUGAAAGCCCGGGGCUCAACCCCGGGAGGCGGGUGGAUACUGCUCAGCUCGAGUCCGGAAGAGGAGUGUGGAAUUCCUGGUGUAGCGGUGAAAUGCGCAGAUAUCAGGAGGAACACCAAUGGCGAAGGCAGCACUCUGGGACGGUACUGACGCUGAGACGCGAAAGCGUGGGAGCAACAGG